rnacentral:rRNA from 1 species
AAUGAACGCUGGCGGCAGGCCUAACACAUGCAAGUCGAACGGAUCCUUCGGGAUUAGUGGCGGACGGGUGAGUAACGCGUGGGAACGUGCCCUUUGGUUCGGAAUAGCCUCGGGAAACUGGGAGUAAUACCGGAUAAGCCCUUCGGGGGAAAGAUUUAUCGCCAAAGGAUCGGCCCGCGUUGGAUUAGGUAGUUGGUGGGGUAAUGGCCUACCAAGCCGACGAUCCAUAGCUGGUUUGAGAGGAUGAGCAGCCACACUGGGACUGAGACACGGCCCAGACUCCUACGGGAGGCAGCAGUGGGGAAUCUUAGACAAUGGGGGAAACCCUGAUCUAGCCAUGCUGCGUGAUCGAUGAAGGCCUUAGGGUUGUAAAGAUCUUUCAGUUGGGAAGAUAAUGACGGUACCAACAGAAGAAGCCCCGGCUAACUCCGUGCCAGCAGCCGCGGUAAAAC